rnacentral:rRNA from 1 species
GACGCUGGCGGCACGCUUAACACAUGCAAGUCGAACGAGAUCUUCGGAUCUAGUGGCAGACGGGUGCGUAACGCGUGGGAACCUGCCCUUUAGUAAGGAAUAACUUUAGGAAACUGAAGCUAAUACCUUAUAAUCCCUUCGGGGGAAAGCUUUAUGCGCUAAUGGAUGGGCCCGCGUUAGAUUAGCUUGUUGGUGAGGUAAAGGCUCACCAAGGCUACGAUCUAUAGCUGGUCUGAGAGGAUGAUCAGCCACACUGGGACUGAGACACGGCCCAGACUCCUACGGGAGGCAGCAGUGGGGAAUAUUGGACAAUGGGGGCAACCCUGAUCCAGCGAUGCCGCGUGAGUGAUGAAGGCCCUAGGGUUGUAAAACUCUUUCGCCAGGGAAGAUAAUGACGGUACCUGGUAAAGAAGAUCCGGCUAACUCCGUGCCAGCAGCCGCGGUAAUACGGAGGGAUCUAGCGUUAUUCGGAAUAACUGGGCGUAAAGCGAGCGUAGGCGGAUUUGUAAGUUGGAGGUGAAAUCCCAGGGCUUAACCCUGGAACUGCCUUCAAAACUACAUUUCUUGAGUUUGGUAGAGGAGAGUGGAAUUCCUAGUGUAGAGGUGAAAUUCGUAGAUAUUAGGAGGAACACCAGUGGCGAAGGCGACUCUCUGGGCCAAUACUGACGCUGAGGUUCGAAAGCGUGGGUAGCGAACAGGAUUAGAUACCCUGGUAGUCCACGCAGUAAACGAUGAGUGCUAGAUGUUGGGAACAUUAGUUUUCAGUAUCGCAGCUAACGCGUUAAGCACUCCGCCU